UGCGCGGACACCGAAUCCAUGCCGCGCACGCCUCCACUGAUCUUCUUCCCCACGACGCCAACCUCCUCUCCGAGCGCGUCUAUAUAAAUCCAAGAACCUCCGCAGUCUUUCCCCCCUCAUCCGUCGCUCCAUUACGCCACCAGGAUGCCCAAUUUUGCCGCCACCUUCCCAAGGUCGUCACUGACGUGUACGCGGAUCGACGACGACCCGAAGCAACCGCCGCCGCCGCCGUGUUCCCGAGGACCGAGAACUCAUAUCCGCCGUCUCCGAGGAGCAGAACCGUGGGAACAAAGAGUUUCACCGAGUCGAUCUGCGCCUGAUACACCUUUUCCCGAAGCCCGAGGACCACCGGAACGACUGAGCCGCCACCUCCAGAGCCGCCACCGCUGUCGGAAGCCUCGCCGGAAACACCCUAGCCGCCGGAGCUGAGCAAGUUCAAUCUGGACCGUUCAUUUUGCAUCAAGGGCUAUGAUCAGAUCACUUAACGAAGGGGUAAGAUUGUUUGGAUUGCGACGUGCGUUGUUGUGAAGAGUGUAACUCAAACUACUGUGAUCAAGGCAAGUUCACUUUGACCAUGUCCUAAAAUUUUUAUUAUGCAUUAGUGUUCUAUUUGAAUGCAUUGCUAGAACUACUUAUUGUAUCUAUACUAGGUAUGACACCUAGGUAGUGUAGCCAUAUCCUUUUGAUGACAUGUUGCACCAAUAGCCGUUUUAAGUACCUGGUUGAUAGAUUUAGAUGGUUGCUUUGUUUUCUUUUCAUGUAAACAUAUACCACCUUGUACUUUAUUUUGUUUAAUAUAUUGCAGUAGGCAUUUUUAUGUACCGUAUGUUCCUCAAAUAAUAUACCAAGGAUUGUAAGUA